rnacentral:lncRNA from 1 species
UUUCGUAUACGGGAAAUCCUAUUUCUGCAAGCCGGCCGGCUUGGGGAACUCUAUUUAUGUUUUCGGGAGUUUCGGUACGACCCGAAACUCCCGAAGCGUUUGCCGAUGUCUGCUCGCGAGUGCUAUUGACCGCGGCCGGAAGGACAUCAAAAAACCGCGUUUUGAAGAAAGGGUCGGUAUUAUGACUCACCCGAAAACAACACUUCUGUGCCUCAUUCCGCAAAUUCAAACACAUUUUUAUUGUAUCUUAAUCCGAGCAGGCUCGUCCAUUUUCUAUCAAACAUCUACGCCAACCGCUGACAGGAUGGCCUGGUAAAAGUAAUAAAAGGCCGAUUCGGCCUGCUGCACCGGCGGGCGGGGUCGACUCAGCUUCACCAGCCAGGACUGCGG